UACAGAGGUCUCAAGCGUUGUUCGGCUUCAUUGGGCGUAAAGGGUGUGUAGGUGGCGCCGUAAGUCGGGUGUGAAAUUUCGGAGCUUAACUCCGAAACUGCAUUCGAUACUGCGGUGCUUGAGGACUGGAGAGGAGACUGGAAUUCAUGGUGUAGCAGUGAAAUGCGUAGAGAUCAUGAGGAAGACCAGUGGCGAAGGCGGGUCUCUGGACAGUUCCUGACACUGAGACACGAAGGCCAGGGGAGCAAACGGG
rnacentral:rRNA from 1 species